rnacentral:tRNA from 1 species
GGGUUGUAGCUCAGUGGUGGAGUGUUUGCCUAACAUGUGUGAGGUACUGGGUUUGAUCCUCAGCACCCA